rnacentral:rRNA from 1 species
UACGUAGGGUGCAAGCGUUGUCCGGAAUUAUUGGGCGUAAAGCGCGCGCAGGCGGUCUCUUAAGUCUGAUGUGAAAUCUCGCGGCUCAACCGUGAGCGGUCAUUGGAAACUGGGAGACUUGAGUGCAGAAGAGAAGAGCGGAAUUCCACGUGUAGCGGUGAAAUGCGUAGAGAUGUGGAGGAACACCAGUGGCGAAGGCGGCUCUUUGGUCUGUAACUGACGCUGAGGCGCGAAAGCGUGGGGAGCGAACAGG